rnacentral:rRNA from 1 species
GCACAAGCAGCGGAGCGUGUGGUUUAAUUCGAUGCUACACGAAGAACCUUACCAGGGUUUGACAUGCAAGUGGUAGGAAACCGAAAGGCGACCGACCCUUCGGGGAGCUUUGCACAGGUGCUGCAUGGCUGUCGUCAGCUCGUGUCGUGAGAUGUUCGGUUAAGUCCGCUAACGAGCGCAACCCUCGCUGUGUGUUACAAGUGUCACACGGUACUGCCGGUCUUAAGCCGGAGGAAGGUGGGAUGACGUCAAGUCAGCAUGGCCUUUAUGUCCUGGGCUACACACACGCUACAAUGGCCAACACAAUAGGUUGCUAAGCCGCGAGGUGGAGCCAAUCCUCAAAGUUGGUCUCAGUUCAGAUUGUAGGCUGCAACCCGCCUGCAUGAAGAUGGAGUUGCUAGUAACCGCAGGUCAGCUAUACUGCGGUGAAUACGUUCCCGGGGCUU